UGCCAACCAGCUAGCCCGCCCAAACAAAAACAACAACUCAAUAUUUAUAACCCCUAAUUCACUUCCCAACAUGAAACAAAUCAUUUUACCCCCCUAGUAUGGGCGACAGAAAAGGGAAUAUCGGAGCAAUAGAAAAAGUACCGCAAGGGAACGCUGAAAGAGAAAUGAAAUAACUCAGUUAAGCUCAAAAAAGCAGAGAUUAUACCUCGUACCUUUUGCAUCAUGAUUUAACUAGUAUUAUUCAAGCAAAGAGAACUUUAGUUUGGACCCCCGAAACUACGUGAGCUACUCCAAGACAGCCUAGUUUAUAGGGCAAACCCGUCUCUGUGGCAAAAGAGUGGGAAGAUCUUUGAGUAGAGGUGACAGAUCUACCGAACCUAGUUAUAGCUGGUUGCCUGAGAAUUGGAUAAAAGUUCAGCCUCCAGGAUUCUCCAUUCACCCCGACUCCCUCCCGUCGAUAUCUGAAAGAAUCCUAGAGAGUUAGUCAAAGGGGGGACAGCCCCUUUGAAACAAGACACAACUUUAAUAGGAGGGUAAAGAUCAUAAUAUUUUAAGGUAAAAUGCCCAGGUGGGCCUGAAAGCAGCCAUCCCUUCAGAAAGCGUUAAAGCUUAAGCAUUAUAUUUUCCAUAUAUUCAGAUAACCCAAUCCCAGCCCCCCCCAUAAUUAUCAGGCCUUCUCAUGCGGACAUGAGAGUGAAUAUGUUAAUAUCAGUAACAAGAGAGGAGCCCCUCUCUCCUUGCACAAGUGUAAAUCGGAUCGAACCCCCACCGAAAACCAACGACCCCAAACAAAGAGGGUAAUGAACGACAAAUAAUUAGCCAGAAAACCAUCCAAAAAACAAUCGUUAACCCAACACUGGUGUGCCCCCAAGGAAAGACUAAAAGAAAAAGAAGGAACUCGGCAAAAUAUUAUAAGCCCCGCCUGUUUACCAAAAACAUCGCCUCUUGCAAACACAGAAUAAGAGGUCCAGCCUGCCCUGUGACUAUAUGUUUAACGGCCGCGGUACCCUAACCGUGCGAAGGUAGCGCAAUCACUUGUCUCUUAAAUGGGGACCUGUAUGAAUGGCCAAACGAGGGCUUAACUGUCUCCUUUUUCAAGUCAGUGAAAUUGAUCUUCCCGUGCAGAAGCGGGGAUACUUCCAUAAGACGAGAAGACCCUAUGGAGCUUUAGACACCAAGGCAUACCAUGUUAAAGCCCCCAAAUUAAAGGACUAAACUAAAUGAGCCCAUGCCUAUAUGUCUUAGGUUGGGGCGACCCCGAGGAAAUAAAAAACCCCCGAGUGGACUGGGAACAUACUCCUAAAACCAAGAGCUACAGCUCUAAUUAACAGACAUUUCUGACCAAAAAAGAUCCGGUGAAUUCCGAUCAACGGAACAAGUUACCCUAGGGAUAACAGCGCAAUCCCCUUUUAGAGUUCAUAUCGACAAGGGGGUUUACGACCUCGAUGUUGGAUCAGGACAUCCUAGUGGUGCAGCAGCUAUUAAGGGUUCGUUUGUUCAACGAUUAAAGUCCUACGUGAUCUGAGUUCAGACCGGAGUAAUCCAGGUCAGUUUCUAUCUAUGACAUGUUCUUUUCUAGUACGAAAGGACCGAAAAGGAGAGGCCCAUGCUUUAAGUAUGCCUCACCCCUCCUAAUGAAAACAACUAAAGUAGGUAAAAGGGUAUACCCUCUACCAAAGCCGGAGAUAACGGCAAA
rnacentral:rRNA from 1 species